rnacentral:rRNA from 1 species
AACUUUUAACAAUGGAUCUCUUGGCUCUCACAUCGAUGAAGAACACAGUGAAAUGUGAUAAGUAAUGUGAAUCGCAGAAUUCAGUGAAUCAUUGAAUCUUUGAACGCACCUUGCACCUUUUGGUAUCCAAGAGGUACACCUGUUUGAGUGUCAU